GACUACUAUGCAUCAAUAGUUGAUUAUUUUGUUUUCAAAAUUGCAGGCACCAACUCUUCAGUGGGCAUGACUACCCAUAAGAUCAAGACACUCUCCACCAUGGAGUGUGGUGUAUACCUCUUUGUUCCGAAAUACCAGUCAUUUGCAGAUGGUGGGAUUCAAUUUCCAUGUUGAAGUGAGUUGUCCUAUUUUGACCACUACAAUUAAUGUCCUCUAUGCACUUAUAAAUAAAACGAGUCCGAGUAAUCAUGAUAUAGAGCAAGAAGAUCCAAGACAAAUGGAUAAUACAAACGUGGCCUAUAAAGAAAAUCUUGGACUUGUGAUUUUUUUUCGUAUUUCCUUUUUUAGUUCAUUGUAAUUAAUAUUUACCUAAGUAAUGGAAGGUUUUGUUUUCA